CCUACGGGAGGCAGCAGUGGGGAAUCUUGCGCAAUGGGCGAAAGCCUGACGCAGCAACGCCGCGUGCGGGAAGAAGGCCCUCGGGUUGUAAACCGCUUUCAGCAGGAACGAAAAUGACGGUACUUGCAGAAGAAGGUGCGGCCAACUACGUGCCAGCAGCCGCGGUGACACGUAGGCACCAAGCGUUGUCCGGAUUUAUUGGGCGUAAAGAGCUCGUAGGCGGUUCGGUAAGUCGGGUGUGAAAACUUUGGGCUUAACCCAAAGCCUGCAUCUGAUACUGCUGUGACUAGAGUUCGGUAGGGGAGCGGGGAAUUCCUAGUGUAGCGGUGAAAUGCGCAGAUAUUAGGAGGAACACCGGUGGCGAAGGCGCCGCUCUGGGCCGAUACUGACGCUGAGGAGCGAAAGCGUGGGUAGCAAACAGGAUUAGAUACCCUGGUAGUCCACGCCGUAAACGUUGGGCACUAGGUGUGGGUUUCAACCAACGAAAUCCGCGCCGUCGCUAACGCAUUAAGUGCCCCGCCUGGGGAGUACGGCCGCAAGGUUAAAACUCAAAGGAAUUGACGG
rnacentral:rRNA from 1 species